rnacentral:lncRNA from 1 species
GCCAAGUAGGCUCUCAGUUUUUGAGGUCUGUGCAAAUGUGAUUUCUAUUCUAGAAUUCAUUUGGCAUUUUAGACAAAAUUCGAUAUUUCAAAAAUUUAGUUUUGGCCUUUUACGACCAAAUUACGCUUACAGUCUGCAUCACAUUCAGCGUGGCACACGGCACCCAAGAGACCAACAAACAUGCAAAUAAUAGUGAUAACCCCGACGGGGCAGACCGUGAAAAUGGAGGUUCCCGAGGAGGGCGUGGAGAAAGUCGCCGAAGCCAGUAAGCAAACGAUCCCUAAGACACUGGACAAGGACACAGACGACGAGCGUCCGUGCACCUCGCGACAAUCGAUACAAAAUAUGCAAAAGCCAUCGCCCAAUUGAUUUAUCCAUGGAAGACAAUUGAGGAGCAGCUUGCCAACUACUUGGGGAUCUUUCUCUACAGAACAUGGAAGAUUGUUUUUCAAGCAAGGGGAAACAGAAUAGAACGAAAUUAACCCAUAACCAGCCGUCUAUUCAAACUCCCACUUAACAAAUGCAAAUGUUAUUUCCUUAAUGUUCCUUAAAUAUAACAAACACAAAAGAUGGGCG